CGACGACUUGUUAAUGAGACUAAGUAUUCCGUCGCAUCAGGAAAAACGCGUCUUUUUUUUCUUUUUUUUUUUUUUAUCAAUUUUCUUCUUUUUCCUUUUGACUCUUAGUCUUUCGUACAAGACACAAUUCUAACUCUCCGAUUUCCCCGUCGCCGGAUUUCAUUCUAUUCAAUAUACAAUUCCUUAAAUGGAAUUACAUUUGGUUUAAAUUACAAAAAAUACACAGAAUGCGUAAUACGUAUAAAAACGUGUCGUUUAUGCGUCACAUAGUUAUAUUUAACCUAUAGUAUUCGUCGAUUGUAAGCAGACUUCGAAAUGCAAUGAACUAUCUAUCAUAAAAAUUAAUGAAAUGAAUUGAAGGUGGUUUUUGGUUUUGCAGAAACUCGUGAUAAAAUAAUUAGAAUUGCAAAUAUUAAUUACUAUGCUAUUGAAAUAAAAUGUCUAUGAGACAUUGAGACACUUUAGACACCAUUCUGUAUUAAACGAACACGUUUUACGAAUACAUACUACUUCGAAGUCUGAUUGCAACGAAUGAUCGAUCCGGGUCAGAUAAUUUUAUAUUGCGUUAUUAAUGACCUCCAGAUUACACCUAUUUUAAUUACUACUAUGUUAAUACAUCACGAGCUAUAGUGAUAUUACACGUAAACUAAAAACAUAAUAUCGCUAUUAUUCCUAUGUGUUUUCGAUUUAUAAUAUUCUAUAUGUGUGUUAUAACUCGUCGUAUUCUUUCUACAGCGAAAGCAUGAUCAUGAAACGUAAAAGGUCCCUUCUGCUCUGACAUAUGGAAUACUUCUGUGUGUGUUCGAACAAUUAGCUGCCUAAUGUCUGGUAUGCAUGGAAUUCUAUACCUCUGGAUUAAAUGAAAUUGUCGUCUCAUUACUUAAAGCAUCCGCUGCUAUGUUCCUCAUUGGCAAGUGACCAAAUUUUCUUUUUAAUGCAAAAAUAUGUACAUGUUGCUAUUAACUGUGGUUUAAAUGAAAUAGAUGUACAUAAAAAAAUAAAUACAAUGUCUAUGUAAGGAACAGAAUAUUAUAGAUAAUAUUAUAUUUAUUUAAUUGAAAAAAAACAUUUCAAUAUAUCAAGUAUACUUACGCGUAUACUGAAGUAACGAUAUGAUAAACCUUGGUGUACAUACAUAUCUGUUUCUGUUCCUGCUUGUACACUUACAAACGUCCUGAUUUAUUAUCUAUUAUUCUACCGGUUUAUUAUCGUGACAAGUUGUUGGUAUCUAUCGGUUUAUCGAUUUUUGUCUCUCUACAUGUGCUUCUACAGAAGCACAUAACUUGAAGCACAUACAUCUAUAAAUCUACAAAUUGAUUUUCUCAAAAACGAAACCUUACUUGAAGAAAUUUUAUCUUUCAUUUUCAAUUUACAUAUAUAUAUA